GCCGAACGCAGUAGCAAUACCGAGUGGCAGACGGGUGAGUAACAUGUGGGAAUCUGCCUUGUGGUUCAGGACAACAUUGGGAAACCGAUGCUAAUACUGGAUAAGCCCUUACGGGGAAAGUUUUAAUGCCAUAAGAUGAGCCCGCAUUUGAUUAGUUAGUUGGUGAGGUAAUGGCUCACCAAGACAAUGAUCAAUAGCUGAUCUGAGAGGAUGAUCAGCCACACUGGGACUGAGACACGGCCCAGACUCCUACGGGAGGCAGCAGUGGGGAAUCUUGCACAAUGGAGGAAACUCUGAUGCAGCGAUGCCGCGUGAGUGAAGAAGGCCUUUGGGUUGUAAAGCUCUUUUGUAGGGGAAGAUAAUGACUGUACCCUAAGAAUAAGGUCCGGCUAACUUCGUGCCAGCAGCCGCGGUAAUACGAAGGGACCUAGCGUAGUUCGGAAUUACUGGGCGUAAAGCGCGCGUAGGCUGUUGAGUUAGUUAAUUGUGAAAUCCCAAAGCUUAACUUUGGAACUGCAAUUAAAACUGCUCGACUAGAGUUUGAUAGAGGAAAGCGGAAUACAUAGUGUAGAGGUGAAAUUCGUAGAUAUUAUGUAGAACACCAGUUGCGAAGGCGGCUUUCUGGAUCAACACUGACGCUGAGGCGCGAAAGUAUGGGUAGCAAAGAGGAUUAGAUACCCUCGUAGUCCAUACCAUAAACGAUGAUUGCUAGAUGUUGGAAAUUUAUUUUCAGUAUCGCAGCUAACGCAUUAAGCAAUCCGCCUGGGGAGUACGACCGCAAGGUUAAAACUCAAAUGAAUUGA
rnacentral:rRNA from 1 species